rnacentral:pre_miRNA from 1 species
AAAAACAUCCCACCCUUCCAACAUCAUGCGUUUUUUUUUAUUUUUUUAAUAAAAAAAUAAAUAAAAAACGCAUGAUGUUGGAAGGGUGGGAUGUUUU